AAUAUAAAAAAGAAGAUGUGGUAUGAUUGCCAAUGAGACAACUAUCCACAAAAGACCAAAAUGACACAGACAUUAACAACUAUAUAGGUCACCGUACGGCCUUCAACAAUGAGCAAAGCCCAUACCGCAUAGUCAGCUAUAAAAGGCCCCGAUAAGACAAUGUAAAACAAUUCAAACGAGAAAACUAACAGCCUUAUUUAUGUAAAAAAAUGAACGAAAAACAAAUAUGUAAC
rnacentral:lncRNA from 1 species